GUGAGUUUCCAGUUGCUGGUUAAGCUGGUGGUUGUGAGGAGUGGGUGGGGCUGGGAAUGUUUUGAUCAGUCUGUUGUGUGAAGUCAAAAGAACCCAGAACAGGUUGUACAAAGACCUAGAUCCAAGUCUCAUUCCUGCCACAUCCUGGGUGUGGGACUCCAGGCAAAUCAGUUUACAAGUGUUUUCACUUGUAAAUAGGAGAAAUAAUCCCUGCCUGGCCUCCCUCUGAGGAUUGUUUUCAGGAUCAAAUAAGAUAAUGGGAACGGGUGUUGUCAGGCAUUACACAAAUGUAGGAUUAGGUCCAGCGGUUUACUAACAGAGGUCUGGCUCAAUUCCAGCGAGUCCCCCCUGGGGAGCAUUUAACAUAAUAAUGUUGAAGAUCCCCCCCAUGCAGCCCACUAGGUGAAACGUACCCUGAGGGUAUUACUUCUGUGCACUUGCCAGGUUUCUUAAAUUCUGCCUCAGGUCUACCCUGACCUGGGAUUGUGUAGGGCUUUACUGAAGUCAGCCCGGAGGCUCCCAUGCCCCACAGUGAGUCUCCGCAACUAGUUCUGCAGGUUUGAGUGAUGGAGACUUUCCCAGUGGGCAGCCUCCCACCUCCAUCUCCCGAGGGCUGUUCACACACUUUACUGAUGAGGACUGGAAGCCAUUCCCCCCGGAGAGACUGAUUCUCAUUUUCAUUCCGAUGGUACUUACUGGAGAAUUUCGAGAGGAAUGAAAAUUAGGGGAGGGCUUACGGAUUUCAGUAGAGUUAAAAUGAGAUGAAUUCAUUACAGAAGACCAGCUCCAUUUUCUGGG
rnacentral:lncRNA from 10 species